UACGAAGGGGGCUAGCGUUGUUCGGAAUUACUGGGCGUAAAGCGCACGUAGGCGGCUAUUUAAGUCAGGGGUGAAAUCCCAGAGCUCAACUCUGGAACUGCCUUUGAUACUGGGUAUCUUGAGUAUGGAAGAGGUAAGUGGAAUUCCGAGUGUAGAGGUGAAAUUCGUAGAUAUUCGGAGGAACACCAGUGGCGAAGGCGGCUUACUGGUCCAUUACUGACGCUGAGGUGCGAAAGCGUGGGGAGCAAACAGG
rnacentral:rRNA from 1 species